rnacentral:rRNA from 1 species
UACGAAGGUGGCAAGCGUUGUUCGGCGUUACUGGGCGUACAGGGAGCGUCGGCGGUUGGGUAAGCCCUCCGUGAAAUCUCCGGGCCCAACCCGGAAAGUGCGGAGGGGACUGCUCGGCUAGAGGAUGGGAGAGGAGCGCGGAAUUCCCGGUGUAGCGGUGAAAUGCGUAGAGAUCGGGAGGAAGGCCGGUGGCGAAGGCGGCGCUCUGGAACAUUUCUGACGCUGAGGCUCGAAAGCGUGGGGAGCAAACAGG